rnacentral:rRNA from 1 species
AUUGACCGCUGGCGGCAGGCCUAACACAUGCAAGUCGGGCGAGCGGCGGCCCGGUGAGUAUUUUAUGGGGAUUUGCCUCAUGGAGGGGGAUAACUACUGGAAACGGUAGCUAAUACUGCAUACCAUUAGAUGAACCCUUAUGGGUUUCGCUAGAAGGUGAGGUAACGGAUUACCUAGGCGACGAUCCCUAGCUGGUCUGAUAGGAUGAUCAGCCACACUGAGACUGAGAUACGGCCCAGACUCCUACGGGAGGCAGCAGUGGGGGAUAUUGCACAAUGGGCGAAAGCCUGAUGCAGCGACGCCGCGUGGGGGAUGAAGGCUUUCGGGUUGUAAACCUCUUUCGCUAUCGAACGGGUAGGUGGAGAAGAAGCGCCGGCUAACUACGUGCCAGCAGCCGCGGUAAUAC